GACGAACGCUGGCGGCGUGCCUAACACAUGCAAGUCGAACGGAGAAUUGAAGCUUGCUUUAAUUCUUAGUGGCGGACGGGUGAGUAAAGCGUGAGCAACCUGCCUAUUAGAGGGGGAUAACUUCCGGAAACGGAUGCUAAUACCGCAUAUAGUACAUAAUUCGCAUGAAUAAGUGUAUGAAAGGAGCAAUCCGCUGAUAGAUGGGCUCACGUCCGAUUAGUUAGUUGGUGAGGUAAAGGCUCACCAAGACCGCGAUCGGUAGCCGGGCUGAGAGGCUGAACGGCCACAUUGGGACUGAGAUACGGCCCAGACUCCUACGGGAGGCAGCAGUGGGGAUAUUGCACAAUGGGGGAAACCCUGAUGCAGCAACGCCGCGUGAGGGAUGAAGGUUUUCGGAUUGUAAACCUCUGUCCUUAGGGAAGAAAAAAAUGACGGUACCUAAGGAGGAAGCUCCGGCUAACUACGUGCCAGCAGCCGCGGUAAUACGUAGGGAGCGAGCGUUGUCCGGAAUUAUUGGGUGUAAAGGGUGCGUAGGCGGCUAUGUAAGUCAGGCGUGUAAUUCAGAGGCUUAACCUCUUGACGGCGCUUGAAACUGUGUAGCUUGAGUGGAGUAGAGGCAGAUGGAAUUUCCAGUGUAGCGGUGAAAUGCGUAGAUAUUGGAAGGAACAUCGGUGGCGAAGGCGAUCUGCUGGGCUCUAACUGACGCUGAGGCACGAAAGCAUGGGGAGCAAACAGGAUUAGAUACCCUGGUAGUCCAUGCCGUAAACGAUGAUUACUAGGUGUGGGGGGACUGACCCCUUCCGUGCCGGAGUUAACACAAUAAGUAAUCCACCUGGGAAGUACGAUCGCAAGGUUGAAACUCAAAGGAAUUGACGGGGGCCCGCACAAGCAGUGGAGUAUGUGGCUUAAUUCGAAGAUACGCGAAGAACCUUACCAGGUCUUGACAUCCGACUAACGAAGUAGAGAUACAUUAGGUGCCCUUCGGGGAAAGUCGAGACAGGUGGUGCAUGGUUGUCGUCAGCUCGUGUCGUGAGAUGUUGGGUUAAGUCCCGCAACGAGCGCAACCCCUACGGUUAGUUGCUACGCAAGAGCACUCUAACAGGACUGCCGUUGACAAAACGGAGGAAGGUGGGGAUGACGUCAAAUCAUCAUGCCCCUUAUGACCUGGGCUACACACGUACUACAAUGGCCGCAAACAGAGGGAUACGAAUGGAGCGAAUCCGGAGUCGAAACCCCUAAAAGCGGUCCCAGUUCAGAUUGCAGGCUGCAACUCGCCUGUAUGAAAGUCGGAAUUGCUAGUAAUCGCGGAUCAGCUUGCCGCGGUGAAAUACGUUUCCCCGGGCCU
rnacentral:rRNA from 1 species